AGGUAGCCCCGAUUGCAGUGGAAAUCUGUCAUUGCGAGGAACGAAGCAAUCUGUUCAAAAGAUUGCUUCGUUCCUCGCAAUGACGGAUUGUAGCGAAAAGCGGGACAUAUA
rnacentral:sRNA from 1 species